CAGAACAUGCUGAGACGGCUCCAGUACAUGGCCUGAUCUUAGUGUGCUGUAGCAUUUCAGUCAUUUAGUGUGGGGUCUGGUGGACUCUGUUGACUUGGGGGUCAGUGACCAGCCAACCACAGUCUUGGGUGGUUGUCAUGGAAACAACAGCCCAAGAAGGCAGACAGCUGAGGGGAGUCUGGAAAGAUAUCAACACUCUUGAGUGCUGGGACAGUAGAUUUCCUGGCCUUUUACAGUCUGCAGGGGUUCCUUUUUCUCCAAAAGAGCCCUGUGUCAGAGCCAGCGGGGGUGCAGGAUGCGGGGAGGUGUGCGCCUGAGCACCUGCUUUUGUUCCCCGCCGCUGAUUGAUGCCGGCGGCCUUUACCAUGCUCAGAAAGAGCAGCGUGAGACUAACCGGACCUCCACGGAGCGGAAGCCUAACUUGGCAGAAGACACAGUGAGAGGGAAAGCAGCGGCGACAUUUACAGAGGACACCAGCACCAGCUAAAAAUUCCCAUUUAAGUGGGAUAAAAUCAAACAGUGGGACUCCAUCAAUUAAACAGCAGUGGUGCAUGACUGGAGGAUCCUCUCCAUGGUAAAGAAAAACCCUUUCACAACAUUCAGCCAAGAGAAGAACACUCUCCAGAAGGUAGGUGUGUCACUUUCAAAGUCUACAAUCAAGAGAAAACUGAACGAAAACAAAUACAGAGGGUUCGCCACAAGGUGCAAACAAGGCCAGAUUAGACUUUGCCAAAAAAACAUCUAAAAAAGCCAGACCACUUCUGCAAAAGCAUUCUUUGGACGGCUGAAAUUGAGAUCAACUUGUACCAGAAUGACUGGAAGAAAAUAGUAUGGAGAAGGCUUGGAACAGCUCAUGAUCUAAAGCAUACAACAUCAUCUGUGAAACAUGGUGGAGCAGUGUGAUGGCAUGAGUGUGCUCGAGUUACAAUGGCAGUGGGUUACUGGUGUUUAGUGAUGACGUGACAGAAGACAGAAGCAGCCGGAUGAAUUCUCAAGUGUAUAUAUACUCUCUGCCCAGAUUCAGUCAAAUGCAGCAAAGUUUUUUUAUUUAUUUAUUUAUUUAUUUUUUUUUUAUAACAGUUUUUAUAUGAACAUAAAACAAAUAAG
ensembl:lncRNA